GAUGAACGCUGGCGGCGUGCUUAACACAUGCAAGUCGAACGGAAAGGCCCAAGCUUGCUUGGGUACUCGAGUGGCGAACGGGUGAGUAACACGUGGGUGAUCUGCCCUGCACUUCGGGAUAAGCCUGGGAAACUGGGUCUAAUACCGGAUAGGACCACAUCUUGGAUGGUGUGGUGGAAAGUUUUUCGGUGUGGGAUGAGCUCGCGGCCUAUCAGCUUGUUGGUGGGGUAAUGGCCUACCAAGGCGUCGACGGGUAGCCGGCCUGAGAGGGUGUACGGCCACAUUGGGACUGAGAUACGGCCCAGACUCCUACGGGAGGCAGCAGUGGGGAAUAUUGCACAAUGGGCGCAAGCCUGAUGCAGCGACGCCGCGUGGGGGAUGACGGCCUUCGGGUUGUAAACUCCUUUCGCUAGGGACGAAGCGUUUUUGUGACGGUACCUGGAGAAGAAGCACCGGCUAACUACGUG
rnacentral:rRNA from 1 species